UAAAAGGUGACAAGUAGGGAAGGGAGACAAAGAAUACAAAGAAGAAAAAUUCCUAUAGGGUGGUCAGGGAAGGCUUCAGUGAGGAGCUGACGAUUGAGUACAAUCUUCCUAGAUAGGAAAUGUUUAGGCAAACUCCUUAUUCUUUUGGACUCGUAAAAUAACAGCAGUAAUAGUAAUAAUAAUAGAUAAGUCUAUUUAAAGUGUUUCCUCUGUACCUUUUAAAGGUCUUUAUACACAUGAAACUCAAGCUGCAUAAUUCUAUGAAAAAGGGACUAUCAAUAACCCCAUUUUACAGAGUAGAAAACAGAGGCAGAGGAAAGUGAAGUGGGUUUGCCUAAGGCUUCACAGUUAACCACUUAGGAAGGCAGGUAGACUCCAGAGCCCGCCUCUUUCUUGUCAGCCCUAAAAGGGGUGGUCUUGAAGCAAGUUCUCUUCAGUCCUUCUCGGUUUCAAUGAGGAAAACCAAGAGGAAGUGUCUGCAAGCCCGUGGCUUGUGAUUUAUCUGGGUGGAUUCUUUACCACUGCACCACCUGAGCUUCCCCACUGGAUGUGAGGCCAGUCCUAAAAAGCGACUUUUCUCUUUGGGCAGAAAGAAGCAAACUUGUUUUACAAGUUUAGGUGGCUAGAAAGAGGAAUAAUCAACAUCAACAAACCGAAAGUAGUCUCCAGCUGGUUUGACUUCCUAAUCACAUUGGAUGUACAUCAUCUUGACCAGGUGGGAAACCAUUGUGGAAGGCGAGCACUCACAUGGUAGAGAAGGAAGAGCCUGGAAGGCGGAGCACAGACAGCUGGAUGGAGCUCAGUUCAAACACAGAGAUGGAAACUCCAAAUGAAGACAUGAGUAUUUUAAUAGUCUGUCAAGAACAUUAAAACUCCUCCAAGGGGUGCUUCAGACCUGGAACUCCUGGCAUCAGCCCGAGUCCAGGCUGUCAGAACAGCCUCUGAAACCUGGCUUUGGAGACUCUGGGGAGAAGCAGGACAACUCCCAUGUGGGAACUGUCUUGUGGAAAAACUGGUUUCUGGCAGCAGCAUCUGACCCCACGUCAAACAUUUGCUGCUCUCCUUCAAAAAAAGAAAAAAAAGGGGGGUGUGAGGG